GUCACAAAUUAUCUCCCUUGCAUUAUUGGUAGUUUGGUACAUACAAAAUUGUGAUAGCUAUUGAUGACCACUCUACUAUUAGGUGCUAAAAAUAAUAAAUUGUGACAACAAUUCAUGUCAAUAAACUACAAAGAUAUAAUGGCUGCAUCACUGAAAGCAUUGAAAGUGAUACCCAAAAUGCAACAUAGUAUCUAUUUGGCAUCCAGCUGGAAACAACAUGAUCAUAAUCUACAGAGACAAUAAAUAUUGGGGCAACUCUAACUAAGUUGGUCAGGCUGUUGAAUUGGUAACCAUGAGGUUACAAGUUUAGUUUGAGCCGGUUCUUUGCCGGUUAGGGUCACAAGGCUGGAUAGUGGCUACGUGUUUCCUUCUUCACUCAAAAAAAAAAAAAAA